GAUUUUGCCGCAAGCUUUUGUAUGGGAUUUGACGUUAAUGACAGCACUUGCGAAUCUGCCGCAUGCCGCGAUGCGGCAAAAUCAAAAUCAUUUGAUAUUGCCGCAUCGCCACAUGCAAUUUUAUUUCAGAUGUCAAAUGUCUAAAAUCAUAUCAAAUAAUGAUUAUCUUUAUAAAGAAACAACAAAAUAUCAUUAUAAUACCUUGCAUAGCUAGAAAAUCGAGAAAACUCUCUUCUUGUCGCAUGCGGCGAAGUUCUGACCGCUGCCUUACAUAGGAGAAGCGUUAAGGCGAAAAGCCAUGAGAAUGACAAAAUGCUGACAAAUUUUUCAAAACGUGAGCUUUUGUCACUGUUUUUGAGCUUUUGUCAACAUUUUGUAACCUGUAGCAGCCACCCAAAUGACAAUCUAGCCUACUCUCACUAUGGCGAGCUCAAUGACAGCUGCUUCAACCCAUACUGAGAGGCUAUCAUCGUUUCCUCCUGCGUACUGAGCAAGCUUGUUUUUUCCCCUCGCUGAGGCGAGAUGAUUUUGUUUGUAUGGUGAGCAAAUCUAUCGCCGAUGAUUGCUCUAAUGAGAUGAUCAAGCAACAGCCGCUCACAUGAUGAAAUCAUGAUGAGGUCGGAUUUUGGAGUGAGUAAAAACAUUUCCUCCUCAUCGAGCCGCCAUUGUGUUAUGGUUUGAGGAGAACAUUGGAUCAUCAACGAAUUGUUUACAUUUGUAAAACGUGCAUUCAGUGUCCGCGGGCUACAUUUAUCGAUUCUUUUGUUGAAAGAGCAUAUCAAAUAUCCCGAAUCCGUUAAAUUAUAGUGAAAUACUGCACAUGACACACGAUGCGUUGAAGGAAACGUAAAACCAUGUGUGGGAAGAUGAUGAAUAACUGCCCGGGCCAAUCAUUCAAGUACUGCCGCUAGAGGACAAUAAAUGUUCCACUAUCGGCAGGUUGAAGUGAUAAACAACAAAUGAAGCAGCGCUAGAAGAUGAAGAUGAUGAUACCCAGUUAUGCUAAGGCCAAUAUCCGCUUGAAGACUCCCAUAGUGAAAAGGAAGUGCAUACGGAUCUUGAAUACGUAGAUAGACUGCGAAUCGAAUCGUAGUCGAGCCAAAUGCUCACAUCAUGGUAGCAGAUAUGAACUGUAAUUAAGCAAUGUUCGACCUCGCGUGUCCAUUGAUGAUAGAACUUAACUAUAUUGAAGAAAACAAUUCAGGAUUACAUGUUGGACCAUCAUCGCUGUUUUUGAGGCGCAAAUAUGUAUCAAACGUCUUGGAUGUAUGAAUACGUGCAUCGUGCUAUCAGGUCCAUGCUCCGCAGCAAGGACUGACUAUUCGGCUACGUGAUACGGAAUAAGUCUCGAAAUCUGUGCUGUCCGGCAUGUCCGGCUGCGUAUUUGACGUUACGCCAAAUAGAAGACUCGAGAUUAGAACUGCCCGCAGUGCAAGUGACAGCGAUUUGCGAGGGCGCGCGAGGGCUCGCACGCCAUACAAGUUCACAGCUCCAGAGCCCUCGCAUGAAAGAGCUUGCGAGCCUUGGCAGUUUUUUGACAUGUCAUAUGAGCGAGACAGCUGUAUGCCCUGUGUAUGGAUAUCUCUUUCUGGCAAGAAAAAAAGCUCCGGACAAAAUUUAAAUGGCCAAAAUUUUUGACCACACCCUCUCUCUCUCCCGGUUUCUUCCCCCUGUCCUCUCUUCUUUUAGGUCCCUAAUUCUUAUUUGCGCGCCGCUCGCUUGUGUGCGAUAGAUCAUCAGCUGAUACUGGUGUAUGGUUGGGUUGUAGUUGUAUCUCUGAAUUGGCGAUUGGUACAUAUAUAUGUAGUGUAUUUGGUUUUACCUCGUCAAGGUCACGACGAUGCGAGAACCGAUCGAUUCUGGUGUUGAAGCAUUAUUUGUGCUUUGCUGGUGGUUGCCGUUCCGUGCCGUUUCUGAUGUGGCCAUUUGAUCGCCAUGUCGAUCAACGGGUAUGAAGCCAAUUUCAAACGAGCGAAGGUGAAGGACUAGUUCCGUACCGGAAAAUUGAUUUUUUUAUCGUGUGUGAUACUCCAAUACUGAUCUCGACCCGAUGUAAGCUGGUUUUGACGGCCAUAUGAGAUAAUGUAUUCAUGUUUUAAAAAAUGUCGCAAUUUUUUCUUUCCUGAUUUUCCCGUAAAUUGACCCACAAUUCAAUACUAUUUGACUAUUUUAAUUGAUUCCUCAUACAACGCAUGGAAAGAGGUAAACUGGCUUCGCCAAUUCAUUUAUCACCGCUCUCAACAAUUCAUCACCCGAACCACCCAUAACCUCAUCAUUCCAUCCACAUGCAACGACUUUAACAGCAAAGUUCUCAAUCGAAGCUUCUACAAACUGCUUCUUUCCAUUUUCCUUUUUCUUCUUCUUCUAUUUGUCGCAUCCAUCUACCUGGUCAUGCCAGCCAAUGCAAGUUUUACCGUCUUUUUUAGUACCACACACCGGGCUGGUCAGUCCUUACAACGAAGGGACAGUCCAUAUGAGGCUUGAAUCUAUGACGGGCAGGAUAUUAUCAUCCUUUGCCCAUAUACCUUUCCUUCCGUGUCCACACAACAACAAUAAAAAAUGAGCCACAAAAUUACACAUAAACAUCGUUCAUAAAGCGACGUACAUAAGGAAGAAGAAAAAGAAAGCCACAUACAAAAACACACGCGGGAGGGGGGGGGGGGAGAGAGAGAACGGCCACUCCCGGUUCCGUGUCAAGAUCCUCACUGAGGGUAUCACACGCCGACAGCGCCUCUAUCAACGGUGAGCCCUCAGGAUCGGGCCGUGAUCUGUGCACAUCAUUUUGAACGUGUAAGCAACUGAUAAUAAAACGUUAGAAACGGACUCUCUCAUCCACAGGUACCAUCUCCUACCAUAUGUUACACAUUCUUUGACACACCAUGAACAGCUUCCUUUUGUCUGUCCUUGCGAACGACUAUGGACUGGAUGGUUCAGUACCAGGGGUAUGACAUGGUCUAACCAUCGCGGACAGGCGAGUAUGGUGCGCUACAAGCUACCAGAUGCACCAAGUUAAUCCAAUGUAAUGAUAGACUAGCAGUAUCCUUGCUGUUGGGGUUUGUAAAACACAAGACGAGGCAAAGCGACAUGCGCAAUCGAAAUGCAGUCCGCAAAAAUCCAGACAAAAUCAACUAGUGAACGUGCAUAGGAACCUUCUUAAAAACUAAAUAUAUGUCAUCAUGUUUAUUCCCCCUUUAAAAAUGCGUAGUGAUUUAUGAGAAUUUGAACUAUAUA